GAAAGGAACAGUCUCUUAAUAUAAAACUAUUUCUCUUUUACCUUGCAAUGUUAGUAUAUUGCUUGGAAGGUUACAAAUGUUGGAAGACAAAUUUAUGUUUACCCAACCUAUUGUGGCUUAUGGAAACGUAAAGGGAGAAAUAUACAUUAGCAUCAAUGCAGUUUCCAUUAAGGUAGUCAUCUCUAAGAAAAGGAGCUAUCAGAAAUGAUAGCAUAAAUCUAGUCCUCAGAAAUAUUGCCUAGUCUACUGGACUUCCUGUAGAUUUUACUUUGCUAGGUAAUAGAUUCUUGUCAAUGCCAUGUUAUCUGACUCUUACUGUAUAAGCAAUGUGCUCACCUGAAUAAGACAAAUUAAGAUAGAACAUGCAGGGACCAUCUGUAGACACAUUUCUCUUCACUUCGUGACUAUGGACAGAAUGUUUACUGAAGACAAGGAGCUUCCCUGAAUGCUGAGAUGCUGAGGUACUGUACAAAAAAAAAAAAAAAAAAAAAAAAAAAAAAAAAAAAAAAAAAAAAAGCCUAAUUUUUUACCUUGUAGAUCUUUUACAUAUGAAUAGUAGAAUAUUAAGAAAACCACUUUCAUAGCUCAAGUCUUGAUCUAGAAAAUGCUUUUGCUUUAAGCUUAUGAUCAGUUAUAUUACUAAAUGAAUAGGAUAGCUCAAUUCUCACCUUAGCUUUAAAAUCUCAGUACAUGGAAAAUAUGCUCCACACCACACACACACACACACACACACACACACACACACACACAAUUUGAAUGUAUUCCUGAAACAAAUGGUGGGUGAUAAAAUAGCUCAUUUGCAGAUUGUUGCUAAUUGUGUCUCUUAUAUAUGGGCCUUUGCUUCGUCCCAUGUGAAUUACAGUGGUAAAAAUGAUUAUGUAUUUCAAUGGAGGAAAAAAAAUUACUGCCUGUAUGCAAUAAAAUCUAAUGGCCUUACCUUGAGUAAUGUUUAACAUUGGUUCCAAUGGCUUAGGACAAGUUUCCUGGUGGAAUUGUGAAUAAUUAUAUAUUCACAUGUGAACCAAACUGAGAAGAGAUUAGAGUUUUAUUUCAGGGAUACUAGAGCUGCCAGAUAUUAAAAAUAAAAUAUAAUGAGUAGAAAGCAGCUAAAGUCCUGAUUGCUUCUCUGAAAUAUUAUCAUAGUAGUUCCCUAGCUGGGCUUUCCC
rnacentral:lncRNA from 1 species